GUGCUCAAUUCAGCAGCACAUGGACUAAAAAAUUGGAAGGAUACAGAAAUCAGCAUGCCCCCUGUGCAAGGAUGACACACAAAUCUGUGAAGCGUUCCAUAUUAAA
rfam:Myotis davidii contig163326, whole genome shotgun sequence.